GGAAGUAAAAGUCGUAACAGGGACUCCGUAGGUGAACCUGCGGAGGGAUCAUUACAAGUGACCCCGGUCUUACCACCGGGAUGUUCAUAACCCUUUGUUGUCCGACUCUGUUGCCUCCGGGGCGACCCUGCCUUCGGGCGGGGGCUCCGGGUGGACACUUCAAACUCUUGCGUAACUUUGCAGUCUGAGUAAACUUAAUUAAUAAAUUAAAACUUUUAACAACGGAUCUCUUGGUUCUG
rnacentral:misc_RNA from 1 species